CAUAUUUAAUAUAGUGGAAAUUUGGCAGACUGUCUUUGGACUUUGUUCACUCCACAUCUUUCUUAAAGAUUAUUAUCCAGUUGUUUCCGCACUUCGAAAUCUUCUUCUGGAUCAGGACGUCAGCGCCACUUUUACGACGAGGUCCAGCUGGAGCUACUGGAAGCAGAGUUCGCCAGGGAUUCGUUCCCCAAUGGAGAAUAUCGUCGCCGCAUUGCCCAGUUGAUUGGCGUCUCUGAGAAAUCAAUUAUGGUAUGUCAUUUUCAUCUAAUUCAAUUACCUGAAAUUAAUUUCUCUUCUUGAUUGUAUCAGUGGUGGUUUCAGAAUCGCCGUCGACGAGCCCGCCAACUUGGAUCUUCAAGAACCGCAACUUCAACUCGAGUAACAAAUCACCAACAUCGUCCAUCAUCGUCUUACGUUUCUCGUCAACGUCAACAAGAUACUUUUGCAGAAAAUUUGCAGAUACAACGACUCCGCUCAAGUCCUUCCAACUCCUGGAUUCUAUUCUCAUCCACCGGCAGUUCCAGCCCCCGUGGAACCAAUCAACUACUCGACGUCCGGAUCAUCAUCGUCGUCUCCACUUCAAUCCGAAUGGCUUCCUUCCAGCUGUCCACAAGACGUCGUUAGUCCCCAGUCCAACUUCAAUAACUCGGAUGGAACGCAUCAGCAAACAAGACUAUUCCUUCUACUACUGGAACAACUGGGAAUACUCUCCUCCUUUCUAUCCAACUUCUUUGACAAAUUCGACUUUUUACUCCAACACUGUUUCUGAUCCGUAUUCUUCGUCUUACAGUUAUUAUUAAUUAUUCACCUGAAAUAACAAAUCCGUAUUAUUAUCAGUCGUGUACGUAAAUUUGUUAAUUGACACAUGAUUGACAAUAGAAUAAAUCACGAUAAAUAUCUUAAAAAGCUUUUACCUUUUUUUUAAUAAAAGUUGGUGAAUCAGACGUUUCCUAUUCGAUGGCUAAUAGAUAGUGCCGUGCACAGAGCACGAAUGAAUGCCAAGGAGUUAUCGGUUUUUCUA